rnacentral:rRNA from 1 species
CAACCUCAGAUCAAGUAGGAUGACCCGCUGAACUGAAGCAUAUCAAUAAGCGGAGGAA